UGGGGAAUAUUGGACAAUGGGGGCAACCCUGAUCCAGCAAUGCCGCGUGUGUGAAGAAGGCCUUCGGGUUGUAAAGCACUUUGGGCGGGGAAGAAGGUGGUCUGUUUAAGAGAUGGAUCAUUUGACGGUACCCGCAGAACAAGCACCGGCUAACUCUGUGCCAGCAGCCGCGGUAAUACAGAGGGUGCGAGCGUUAAUCGGAAUUACUGGGCGUAAAGGGCGCGUAGGCGGUCAUACAAGUGAGAUGUGAAAUCCCCGGGCUUAACCUGGGAACUGCAUUUUAGACUGUGUGACUGGAGUACUGUAGAGGAUAGUGGAAUUUCCGGUGUAGCGGUGAAAUGCGUAGAGAUCGGAAGGAACACCAGUGGCGAAGGCGACUGUCUGGGCAGAUACUGACGCU
rnacentral:rRNA from 1 species